AACAUCUUCUUACCAAAAAGUGCAAAGGUAAGGAGAUACGUCCUGCGCAUGCGCAGCCCUAUCUCCUUAAAUACGCAUAAUUUGUUAAAAGGAUAUUAAGCAAAGUUGUAGCCGUCAUCAAGACGAACAACUUUGUUAACAUCUUCUUACCAAAAAGUGCAAAGGUAAGGAGAUACGUUCUGCGCAUGCGCAGCCCUAUCACCUUAAAUACGCAUAAUUUGUUAAAAGGAUAUU
rnacentral:miRNA from 1 species